CACCAGGAAUCGCUCUGAAAAUAAUUUAAAAAGUCCUUUCAACCAUUGCUGUUCUGCACACUGACCCCUUCACCAGGAAUCGCUCUGAAAAUAAUUUAAAAAGUCCUUUCAACUACUUUGGCUCUGCACUUUGACUCCUUCACCAGGAAUCCUUCCUGAAACAUUUUACCAAGUCCUUUCAACCCACUGCUACUCUGCACACAGACCCCUUCACCAAGAAUCUUUCCAGAAACAUUUUACCAGAUCUUCUCGAUCCAACUAUUACUGAAGCCUCAAAUUCAGGAGCUUCCAAGCUCCUGAACACUCAUUCAUGUGAAUGGCUCGCAAGUAGUUUUUUUUCAAUGACUGUCUAUAAUUAUGCAUGAUUAACUUAACUCUUAUUAACUCAAUAACAUGACUAACCUAACUAACUUAAUUAUGCAGUUAUUAUAAAAACCACUUGUUGAGAUUUACUAUGAAGGUCUUAAUGGGGUUAUGUGGAAGACACCGCUCCAUGAUUAAUCAGGGUAAACAACUUCAAGCCAAGUGCUCUUCAACGCUCAAGUUGCUCAUGAGUGAGAACAAUCAUUUGAUCUACUAAUUAUGCUGUCCGUCCGUCCGUCCGUCCGUCCGUCCGUCUCUUCACCAGAGAAGA